AGAGUUUGAUCCUGGCUCAGAACGAACGUUAGCGGCGCGCCUAAUACAUGCAAGUCGAGCGAGAAAGGGCUUCGGCCCCAGUAAAGCGGCGUACGGGUGAGUAACACGUAGGUGAUCUCCCCUAGAGUGGUGGAUAACCCUCCGAAAGGAGGGCUAAUACAGCAUGAGACCACGAUCCCGCUGGGAUUGCGGUCAAAGCAGGCCUCUUCACGAAAGCUUGCGCUCUGGGAUGAGCCUGCGGCCCAUCAGCUUGUUGGUAAGGUAACGGCUUACCAAGGCUAAGACGGGUAGCUGGUCUGAGAGGAUGAGCAGCCACACUGGAACUGAAACACGGUCCAGACUCCUACGGGAGGCAGCAGUAGGGAAUCUUGCGCAAUGGGCGAAAGCCUGACGCAGCGACGCCGCGUGAGCGAUGAAGGCCUUCGGGUUGUAAAGCUCUGUGGGGAGAGACGAAUAAGGCAUGGCUAACAUCCAUGUCGAUGACGGUAUCUCCUUAGCAAGCACCGGCUAACUCUGUGCCAGCAGCCGCGGUAAGACAGAGGGUGCGAACGUUGUUCGGAAUUACUGGGCGUAAAGCGCGUGUAGGCGGCAACGCAAGUCGGGCGUGAAAUCCCACGGCUCAACCGUGGAAGUGCACUCGAAACUGCGUAGCUAGAGUCCUGGAGAGGAAGGUGGAAUGCUUGGUGUAGAGGUGAAGUUCGUAGAUAUCAAGCGGAACACCGGUGGCGAAGGCGGCCUUCUGGACAGUGACUGACGCUGAGACGCGAAAGCGUGGGGAGCAAACAGGAUUAGAUACCCUGGUAGUCCACGCCGUAAACGAUGAGUGCUAGGUGUCACGGGCUUUGACCCUCGUGGUGCCGAAGCUAACGCGUUAAGCACUCCGCCUGGGGAGUACGGCCGCAAGGCUAAAACUCAAAGGAAUUGACGG
rnacentral:rRNA from 1 species